AGCUAUAUGAAUUAAUAUAUAGUUAUUUCUGCUCCAUGAUUAUUAAAUAGCCGCAGUACUCUGACUGUGCAAAGGUAGCAUAAUCAGUUGGCUUUUAAUUAGAGUCUAGAAUGAAUGAAAAUAUGGGUGGAGACUAUCUAAGUGUAUUUAUUUGAACUUAAUAAGUAAGUGAAAAUGCUUAUAUAAAUAUAAAAGACGAGAAGACCCUAGAAACUUGAAAUGCUUUUUGUUGGGGCGACAGAAUUACAAUUAACUAGUUUUAAAAGACGGGACGUAAAAAUGGAAGAAUAAGUUACUCUAGGGAUAACAGCAUAAUUUUAAUAGUUUGUGACCUCGAUGUUGGACUAGGUAUUAUACUCUUUAGGUAAGAGUAUAAAAUGCUCUGUUCGAGCAAGUAUACCUACAU
rnacentral:rRNA from 1 species